rnacentral:rRNA from 1 species
AACCUCCGCAAUGCGAGCAAUCGCGACGGGGGGACCCCAAGUGCCACUCUUAACGGGGUGGCUUUUCUUAAGUGCUUUUGGAAUAAGGGCUGGCAAGACCGGUGCCAGCCGCCGCGGUAACACCGGCAGCUCUAGUGGUAGCCAUUUUUAUUGGGCCUAAAGCGUUCGUAGCCGGUUUAAUAAGUCUCUGGUGAAAUCCUGCAGCUUAACUGUGGGAAUGCUGGAGAUACUAUUAGACUUGAGAUCGGGAGAGGUUAGAGGUACUCCCAGGGUAGAGGUGAAAUUCUGUAAUCCUGGGAGGACCGCCUGUUGCGAAGGCGUCUGACUGGAACGAUCUGACGGUAGGGGACGAAAGCUGGGGGCGCGAACCGGAUUA